rnacentral:rRNA from 1 species
UACGUAGGUGGCAAGCGUUGUCCGGAAUUAUUGGGCGUAAAGCGCGCGCAGGCGGUCCUUUAAGUCUGAUGUGAAAGCCCACGGCUCAACCGUGGAGGGUCAUUGGAAACUGGGGGACUUGAGUGCAGGAGGAGAAGAGUGGAAUUGCCACGUGUAGCGGUGAAAUGCGUAGAGAUGUGGAGGAACACCAGUGGCGAAGGCGACGUGCUUUGGCCG